rfam:Stegodyphus mimosarum contig71867, whole genome shotgun sequence.
GGAUCGGUGAUUCAGUGGUAGAAUGUUCGCCUGCCACGUGGGCUGCCCGAGUUCGUUUCCUGGCCGAUGUA